GUCGAGAAUCUUUCACAAUGGGGGCAACCCUGAUGGAGCGACGCCGCGCGGAGGAUAAGGUCUUCGGAUUGUAAACUCCUGUCAUGCGUGAACAAGGUUGCUUGGUUAAUACCUGGGCAAAUUGAUGGUAACGCAAGAGGAAGAGACGGCUAACUCUGUGCCAGCAGCCGCGGUAAUACAGAGGUCUCAAGCGUUGUUCGGAAUCACUGGGCGUAAAGGGUGCGUAGGUGGGGGGGUAAGUCAAAUGUGAAAGCCAGGGGCUAAACCUAGGAAAUGCAUCCGAUACUGCCAUGCUAGAGUGCUGGAGAGGUGACUAGAAUUCUCGGUGUAGCAGUGAAAUGCGUAGAUAUCGAGAGGAAUACCAAAGGCGUAGGCAGGUCACUGGACAGUUACUGACACUGAGGCACGAAGGCCAGGGGAGCGAACGGGAUUAGAUACCCUAGUAGUCC
rnacentral:rRNA from 1 species